rnacentral:rRNA from 1 species
GAUGAACGCUGGCGGCGUGCCUAAUACAUGCAAGUCGAGCGAACAGACGAGGAUCUUGCUCCUCUGACUUUAGCGUCGUACGUGUGAUUAACACGUGUAUAACCUACCUAUAGUACUGGUAUAACUUCGGGACACCGGAUCUAAUACCGGAUAAUAUAUUGUACCGCAUUUUUCAAUAGUUAAUUUCGUUUUUUCUUUCUCUUAUAUAUUGUUCCGCGCCGCAUUAGCUAGUUGGUAAGUUAACGGCUUACCAAGGCAACGAUGCGUAGCCGACCUGAGAGGGUGAUAGGACACACUGGAACUGAGACACGGUCCAGAAGCCUACGGGAGGCAGCAGUAGGGAAUAUUCCGCAAUGGGCGAAAGCUUGACGGAGCAACGCCGCGUGAGUGAUGAAGGUCUUCGGAUCGUAAAACUCUGUUAUUAGGGAAGAAAAAAUGUGUAAGUAACUAUGCACGUAUUGACGGUAACUAAUCAGAAAGCCACGGCUAACUACGUG